GUCCCAUAGGGCGGCGCACAACCGGCCUACCCCAGGUUUGGCCGGGGUAGGCCGUCAUUGUAAAUAAGAAUUUGUUCUUAACUGACGUGCCUAGUUAAAGGUUCAACAAAAAUACAUAAAUGGUCACGUGACAUCCUGGGGGGGGGACACUUUCGGAGUUGUCUCGAGAUGGCAUGGUGCAUUCAUUAAAUGAGACUACUAUAGCAUAGUCUACGUGCCUAUGCCACGUUCACAUGCAAGUCGGAACUAGGAAACUCAGACAUUUCCGAAAUGCUAACUGGAUGAACGCGGUUGUUGACUACAAUUAGUUAGCAAGUCUGAACAUUUUCGACGAGGAGUUGCGACGAGCAGGCCCUGGUGACCACAGCCAACCAAUGGACACUCCCUGGCCUGGCAACCAGCUGUCUGUCAAGAAAAGGUCAUGAGUGUUGAGUUGACUGGCAACUUUCUCUAGUUUUUUUGUAUGUGAGCAUUUUAAAAUGCUAACAUGUACAAACCUUUUGCAGGGCACGUGACACCAUUGGAAGUCUCCCCAGCCAAUGGAAUCGUACAGAUUUUGCACAAAGCCAAAAAAGGUGUGACAAGCACUAAUGCGUUUGGUGUUCAGAAAACCUCAUUACCUUUUUGACUUUAUUAAACUUGUAAUGCUGUACAAUAGUAUCUCAGGAGCUGUCCAUUAGGCACAGAUUGAAUAAUUAUGGACUGACUGUUGUCUGACAGAUGUUUUUGAGAUUAUUUCUUUCUGAAAAUGUUGACUGGAUAAAUAAAUAUCUGGAAACCUGAUAACAUUAAUCUGACUGUCUUUGCAUGAUUCAAGCACACCUUUUUAAAGUACAUAAAAUGAUCAUAACAUUGACAUGGUGGCAGUGAGGAAGGCUAUGUCAUUAUGUUAUAGGUAUUAUUCCAGGGUCAUAGAGGAGCAUUACAUUGUACCAGGUAUGUAAAUAUAGGCAGUUGCAUAGUGCUUAUUGUAAAAGACUAUAGUUGUACAACUGAAUGCAUUCAUGCAUAUUUACUACCUCGGUACAGGGUAAUUACAUAGUAAUGGCAGUAUAUGACAACUAGAGGAACGAAAAAAAAAAAAGUGGGCUUUAUUAACAGUAUAGCAUUACACUGGUACUCUGGCAGAUCGAACAGAACAUAAAUAAUGGUCAAAUGCAGUUUAACAAAUGCAUUUAGGGAACAGAAAUUCGUGUAAUUUCUCAUAGUGUAAACCUAUACUUAAAUAGUGGAUGACAUUUAAUGGUAAACAAGCUACAAAAUUUUUUUUAAAACAGAACAAGCACAAACAUCGUAGCGGGUUCUUUUUCCAGGUGAAACCUCACACUCAAUGCUCAUUUCACCAAGCACUAAUUAAAUGACUGCACUCCCAGUGUCUGCAGGGAGGAUCUGAGAGCCACCACUAGUUAACUUUAUGAAAAUGAUCACAAUGAUAAGGGGCCUGGUGACAUAGAAACCUGUUCAUGUCUUGUACGCACUGUCACCUACAGUAUCCUUCACCUAGACAAUUUUUUUGAAUGAUGUUUCAUUUUCACAGCUUAUCAACAAGUCUUUCAAAUAUGGAAAGCAGUCUUUCUCUCUUCUCUAUAGUAGAUGAGUCCAGUUCUACAUCAGCAGAGCCGUUGUUCCUGGAGAUCUUGCUUUUCAUUAGGGCUUCCUUUUCUUUCUGCAGCUCUGUCCUCUCUCUCUCGAUUGACGCCCUAUCCCUGUCCAGUAUGGCUCGCUCCCGUUCCAUCGCCGCUCGCUCCCUAUCCAUCGCCGCUCUGUCCUUGUCCAGUGAUGCUCUGCCUCGCUCAACAGCCACCCUCUCUCUGUUCACCACAUCCCUCUCUCUGUCCAAUAUCAACCUCUCCCUGUCAAAAUCAGCCUGCUCCCUCUCUAACACUUCCCUCUCCUUCUCCAAAUCUGCUAUCUGUCUCUCUAGUUCAGCAGUCUCCCUCUCAAUGUUCCUGCCAGGAUUUCUCACCAACAUGGCUCUUCCGUCUUCAGCUAUGGUCUCUACAUCCUCAGCCAUGGUCCUCCCGUAUCCACCUACUGGCAUCUUGUCAGGCGCGGCCCUCUCGUUCUGACCCCCACCCCUGCCCUCCUCCCGCAGGGCCCUCUCACACUCCACCGCAGCCCUACGGAUCUCCUCUGUAGCUGCGUCUGUGUACGCCACUUGUCCAUCUGCUACCGUGCUCGCAGCCCCAACACUCUCCCCCAACUGUGCUUUGG